rnacentral:rRNA from 1 species
AUUGAACGCUGGCGGAAUGCUUUACACAUGCAAGUCGAACGGUAACAGGUCUUCGGAUGCUGACGAGUGGCGAACGGGUGAGUAAUAUAUCGGAACGUGCCCAGUCGUGGGGGAUAACGUAGCGAAAGUUACGCUAAUACCGCAUACGAUCUAUGGAUGAAAGCGGGGGAUCGCAAGACCUCGCGCGAUUGGAGCGGCCGAUAUCAGAUUAGGUAGUUGGUGGGGUAAAGGCUCACCAAGCCAACGAUCUGUAGCUGGUCUGAGAGGACGACCAGCCACACUGGAACUGAGACACGGUCCAGACUCCUACGGGAGGCAGCAGUGGGGAAUUUUGGACAAUGGACGCAAGUCUGAUCCAGCCAUUCCGCGUGCAGGAUGAAGGCCCUCGGGUUGUAAACUGCUUUUGUACGGAACGAAAAGGUCUCUCCUAAUACGAGGGGCUCAUGACGGUACCGUAAGAAUAAGCACCGGCUAACUACGUGCCAGCCGCCGCCGUAA